rnacentral:rRNA from 1 species
UAAGUGUAGUGAUACAUUGAGCUAACAGAUACUAAUUGCCCGAGAGGCUUAACUAUACAACGCUCAAG